AGAGUUUGAUCCUGGCUCAGGAUGAACGCUGGCGGCGUGCCUAAUACAUGCAAGUCGAACGCUUUGUCUUUAAUUGAUCUGAAGAGCUUGCUCUGAUUUGAUUUUAUCUGACAAAGAGUGGCGAACGGGUGAGUAACACGUGGGUAACCUACCUCUUAGCAGGGGAUAACAUUUGGAAACAAGUGCUAAUACCGUAUAAUACCAACAACCGCAUGGUUGUUGGUUGAAAGAUGGUUCUGCUAUCACUAAGAGAUGGACCCGCGGUGCAUUAGCUAGUUGGUAAGGUAACGGCUUACCAAGGCAAUGAUGCAUAGCCGAGUUGAGAGACUGAUCGGCCACAAUGGGACUGAGACACGGCCCAUACUCCUACGGGAGGCAGCAGUAGGGAAUCUUCCACAAUGGGCGCAAGCCUGAUGGAGCAACGCCGCGUGUGUGAUGAAGGGUUUCGGCUCGUAAAACACUGUUAUAAGAGAAGAACGGCACUGAGGGUAACUGUUCAGUGUGUGACGGUAUGUAUACCACCAGAAAGAAACGGUUAAAUACGUGCCAGCAGCCGCGGUAAUACGUAUGUUCCAAGCGUUAUCCGGACUUAUUGGGCGUAAAGCGAGCGCAGACGGUUAUUUAAGUCUGAAGUGAAAGCCCUCAGCUCAACUGAGGAAUGGCUUUGGAAACUGGAUGACUUGAGUGCAGUAGAGGAAAGUGGAACUCCAUGUGUAGCGGUGAAAUGCGUAGAUAUAUGGAAGAACACCAGUGGCGAAGGCGGCUUUCUGGACUGUAACUGACGUUGAGGCUCGAAAGUGUGGGUAGCAAACAGGAUUAGAUACCCUGGUAGUCCACACCGUAAACGAUGAGUGCUAGAUGUUCGAGGGUUUCCGCCCUUGAGUGUCGCAGCUAACGCAUUAAGCACUCCGCCUGGGGAGUA
rnacentral:rRNA from 1 species